CCUACGGGAGGCAGCAGUGAGGAAUAUUGGUCAAUGGACGGGAGUCUGAACCAGCCAAGUCGCGUGAAGGAUGACGGCCCUAUGAGUUGUAAACUGCUUUUGUACAAGGGUAAACCUGAAUACGUGUAUUCUUCUGUAAGUACUGUAUGAAUAAGGAUCGGCUAACUCCGUGCCAGCAGCCGCGGUAAUACGGAGGAUCCAAGCGUUAUCCGGAUUUAUUGGGUUUAAAGGGUGCGUAGGCGGAAUGAUAAGUUAGAGGUGAAAUGUUCGGGCUUAACCCUGGAAUUGCCGUUGAUACUGGUUGUCUAGAGAGGAGGAGCGGUAGGCGGAAUGUGUGGUGUAGCGGUGAAAUGCUUAGAGAUCACGCAGAACACCGAUUGCGAAGGCAGCUUAC
rnacentral:rRNA from 1 species